rnacentral:rRNA from 1 species
GACGAACGCUGGCGGCGUGCCUAAUACAUGCAAGUAGAACGCUGAAGGAGGAGCUUGCUUCUCUGGAUGAGUUGCGAACGGGUGAGUAACGCGUAGGUAACCUGCCUGGUUGCGGGGGAUAACUAUUGGAAACGAUAGCUAAUACCGCAUAAGAGUAGAUGUUGCAUGACAUUUGCUUAAAAGGUGCAAUUGCAUCACUACCAGAUGGACCUGCGUUGUAUUAGCUAGUUGGUGGGGUAACGGCUCACCAAGGCGACGAUACAUAGCCGACCUGAGAGGGUGAUCGGCCACACUGGGACUGAGACACGGCCCAGACUCCUACGGGAGGCAGCAGUAGGGAAUCUUCGGCAAUGGACGGAAGUCUGACCGAGCAACGCCGCGUGAGUGAAGAAGGUUUUCGGAUCGUAAAGCUCUGUUGUAAGAGAAGAACGAGUGUGAGAGUGGAAAGUUCACACUGUGACGGUAUCUUACCAGAAAGGGACGGCUAACUACGUG